rnacentral:rRNA from 1 species
AAUAAUACAAACGGCGUAAAGCACGACUAAAAAAAGUUAUAACCCUAGAUAAAGGAAACCAGACUGGGCUGUAAAAAGCCAUAAGUUACAAUAACCGCAUCUACAUCAAACAAAUUCCACUCGUGAAAGUCAGGGUACAAACUAAGAUUAGAUACCUUACUAUGCCUGACUGUAACACAACAAUUAAACUACCAAUUGUUCGCCAAAUAACUACGAGUAAAAACUUAAAAUUUAAAAGACUUGACGGUACCUCACAACAACCUAGAGGAGCCUGUCCAUAACCGAUACCCCACGAUUAAUCCUACCCCCCCUAGCCUAACAGUCUAUAUACCGCCGUCGCCAGCAUACCUUCUGAAAGAAAUAAAGUAAGCCAAACAGUUACCACACUAACACGACAGGUCGAGGUGUAACUAAUGGGCGGGUCAAGAUGGGCUACAUUUUCUAAAAUAGAAAAUACGAAUAAACUAUGAAAAAGAAACUGAAGGCGGAUUUAGCAGUAAAUUAAGGACAUAAUACUUAAUCGAAAUUAAUGCAAUGAGGUGCGUACACACCGCCCGUCAUCCCUGUUGAUCAAACCCAAAAUAUCUAUAA